GCGUGAGUGAUGAAGGCCUUAGGGUUGUAAAGCUCUUUUACCAGGGAUGAUAAUGACAGUACCUGGAGAAUAAGCUCCGGCUAACUCCGUGCCAGCAGCCGCGGUAAUACGGAGGGAGCUAGCGUUGUUCGGAAUUACUGGGCGUAAAGCGCGCGUAGGCGGUUUUUUAAGUCAGAGGUGAAAGCCCAGUGCUCAACACUGGAACUGCCUUUGAAACUGGAAAACUUGAAUCUUGGAGAGGUCAGUGGAAUUCCGAGUGUAGAGGUGAAAUUCGU
rnacentral:rRNA from 1 species